rnacentral:rRNA from 1 species
AUGGAAGAAGAGCUAAGAUUUUUCAAACUUGAUUUUGCAAAAAUGGUGGCUGACAAGGAGGAUGCUAUUACUGAGCUGGGCAAUACUAGGUUGGCUCUCAAUGAUCUGAAAGAGGAGAUGGAGAAGAAGAAGCUGGCAGACCAUGGUUGCACAAACCUACAUCAGUUACUCAGGGCAAAGGCAGAGAAGGAGAGGGACAAGCUUGUGGUAGAGAGAGACCAAGUGCUGACUGAGAGAGACCAACUAAAGGAAGAGAAGAAAAAGCUGGAGUACAUCAUCUCUGAUUUGCUGAAACAGAAGCAUGGCUACAAGGACAAGAUCAAGAAGUUGAAGGAGAUCUGUGAUGAAUUUUAA